GACGAACGCUGGCGGCGUGCUUAACACAUGCAAGUCGAACGAAGAGCGAUGGAAGCUUGCUUCUAUCAAUCUUAGUGGCGAACGGGUGAGUAACGCGUAAUCAACCUGCCCUUCAGAGGGGGACAACAGUUGGAAACGACUGCUAAUACCGCAUACGAUCUAAUCUCGGCAUCGAGGAUAGAUGAAAGGUGGCCUCUACAUGUAAGCUAUCACUGAAGGAGGGGAUUGCGUCUGAUUAGCUAGUUGGAGGGGUAACGGCCCACCAAGGCGAUGAUCAGUAGCCGGUCUGAGAGGAUGAACGGCCACAUUGGGACUGAGACACGGCCCAGACUCCUACGGGAGGCAGCAGUGGGGAAUCUUCCGCAAUGGACGAAAGUCUGACGGAGCAACGCCGCGUGAGUGAUGACGGCCUUCGGGUUGUAAAGCCCUGUUAAUCGGGACGAAAGGCCUUCUUGCGAACAGUUAGAAGGAUUGACGGUACCGGAAUAGAAAGCCACGGCUAACUACGUG
rnacentral:rRNA from 1 species